ensembl:rRNA 5S_rRNA 5S ribosomal RNA
UACUAUGGCCAUACCACCCUGAACACACCCAAUCUUGUCUGAUCUCGGAAGCUAAGCAGGGUCGGGCCUGGUUAGUGCCUGGAUGAGAGAUAAACUCUAAUUGGUCACAACAGAUU